CGCCAAGCCCAGGAGGCGGCAGAGUGGGUGGGACGUCGGGCAAAGAAAGCUGCGGCCAGCGCUGGAGGGGAGGGAAGCAGAGAGCAGCAGGGGCUGGCUACGGUGGGAGCGGUGGGAGCUCGGACUGAGGGGGCGUGGCACACCCUGCAAACUGCAGGACCAUUGAGGGAAUAGUUCACACCGCUCAGGAGAGGCUUGGGUAGCCAAACAUGGCCAUGGCGGGGAACCUCCUCCUGCUGCCCCCUAGGAUAGAGGAGGGCACAAUCCUUUCCGUACUCCAGAGUCCCCAGCAGUCAGCACUGAACAUCUUUCAGAUAUAGCACAGAGAUCCACGACGAUUGGCCUUGGUCAUUAUCUACUUGAACUAUGCAGCAUCUCAGGGUCAUGUUUAACCGUAGGGAUGAAGAUUUUGUUCUUCCCGAGAAUCAUCGCGCUCCCCAGAUGCAAAGCUGCCCCUAAGACCACACAUGGCCUGCAUCUUCUGCCAGCGUCCCCUCCAAGCCUUCAGACAGGCAUCAGGGAGAAAGCAGGCACCCAGCGCAGAGCCUGUGCCUGUGCAGGGCAGCUUACAGUGGGGAUGGGGACGGACGCUAACACAAGUCGUCUCCAGCUUUGUAAACGCUCAUUCCCCAACUAGGGGGACCUGCUCACCAGCUAUCCUAAAAUGUCAGGAAGAAUGGCUCCACAAACAGAGGCUGCUGGUGAAGGGAGACAAACCAAGUUCCCCUGCCUGCACUUCAGCCCAGAGACCCUGCUGCCGCGGUAGCCAGGGCAGGGCCACACUGGAAGAUCGUUUCUCUGUCAGGUUUCGUCCUGCUUGCCCAGAGGCCCUCCCAGAAUGGUCUCUCGUUCCUGUCUGGCUCCUUGGGCCUCAAACCCUGGGGCUUCUGGAGAAGAGAUGUCAAGCUCUACCACAGGUCUGAAGCUGGAAGAUAGUUCUGGCCCUGCCCAACUGUGGAGGCCAAGCCCUGACGGGGCAGCUCCCUCUCGCAGCCAGCACUUCCCAGAGGGGACAGAGACGAGGCUGCAGGGUCCUCUUUCUCAGUCUGUAAACUGGCGUUCCAGUGGGGGAAGGUUCUGGAUUGUACCCAAACUAAAGUAAAUCCCCUGGGGAGGCUUUGGGCCAAAGGCAGACAGCCAGGGCUGGAAAAGCCAGCCUCUCCUGGGCUGCAAGAGUCACUGGCUCCCCCUCCUCCUCUCCAGGCUUUUACUCCAUAAACGUUUCCUAAACUGAGCUCCUCUUUGUGCUGUUCCCACCCAGGGGGGACGUCUUCUCCCCAACUCUCGCUGCUGGGCAGCUACUUGAGGGCGGGGCCCAGAGAAGUGAUUUUCUAGUUUCCACCACUCAUUCUCUCCUUCACCCCCUCAUCCCUAGUCCAAGGUUUUUGAGCACUGGCCCCAGGCCCUGUGCCAUGCAGAGGAUGUAGAUAUGGGCAAAGACCCCAGCCAUGAGCCCCAGGACUCCCAGGGCAAGAGGCUUCUCAGGGAAGUAGAGUCAAGUCUGUGGUGAGACACAAGGGGGAAGGGCAGCCGGUCAGGCCCUCGGCGUGGCUGCAGGCACUGGGGGAGGCUGAGACUUCUGAUGGCAGGUAUGCAAACCGGGAGACGAUGUUAGAGCCAUCAAGUCCCGAAAGGCCCCCGAGAGAAAGGCUGGUGGCUGAGAAUGUGCCGUGGCCCCGGGAUACAGCAGGAGCAGGGGUGGGAAGGGAGGAGGAGGCAGGCCACUGAGGGUUUGCGGAGUGAUGGCAGCGCUUGAAAUGGGGACCCAGGAGAGGACACUCACAGACCGAGCUGGGUGGACUCACAAAACAUGGAAGGGAUGAAAAACGAAUCCUGAGGUGCAAGUGCUCACAUCAGGGUGGCACUGAUGUGGGAAACAGGCUCCAGAUCGGGGGACAGGCACAGGGAGCAGGAGAGCGGGGCACGCUGUGAGAGCAACCUGGCCACAGGUCAAGAGUUAACAACUCUCUUUGACAGAGAAACCCCAUUUAUAAGGAUGAAUCCUGUCGCUAUUUCUGGGCUAGUGAAGAAAAGGCAGUCACCGUUCAUUGUUAGCAGCAGUGCAGGCCCAUCAUGAGAGGGACUGGUUAAAAAACUGGGGCACAGCCAGACUGCAGGACGCUGUGCCACUAUUCCAAAGAAGUCGCACCUGGAUGGGCUGAUUUCAUGUCUAAAGCUAAGAGAAGUGGGACGCAGAAGCGUGUGUGGCAUCCCGUUGGACUAAGUGCGAGGGCACGGGACGCCCCCCACACUCCUGCCGUGAGCUGUGCCCGCCACGCAGCGGGACCGAGGGCCAG
rnacentral:lncRNA from 1 species